rnacentral:rRNA from 1 species
UGGGGAAUCUUAGACAAUGGGCGCAAGCCUGAUCUAGCCAUGCCGCGUGAGUGACGAAGGCCUUAGGGUCGUAAAGCUCUUUCGCCAGGGAUGAUAAUGACAGUACCUGGUAAAGAAACCCCGGCUAACUCCGUGCCAGCAGCCGCGGUAAUACGGAGGGGGUUAGCGUUGUUCGGAAUUACUGGGCGUAAAGCGCACGUAGGCGGACUGGAAAGUUGGGGGUGAAAUCCCGGGGCUCAACCUCGGAACUGCCUCCAAAACUACUAGUCUAGAGUUCGAGAGAGGUGAGUGGAAUUCCGAGUGUAGAGGUGAAAUUCGUAGAUAUUCGGAGGAACACCAGUGGCGAAGGCGGCUCACUGGCUCGGUACUGACGCUGAGGUGCGAAAGUGUGGGGAGCAAACAGG